ACGGAAAUAAAAAACUACAAUAUGAAUUCAAAUAAAAGAUACCAUUAUGUCACAAACUGUUAUUUGUCCCUCAGUUCUUCUCGUUUCACCAGACGUUUGCUGGAUCCAUAGCCCGCAGAAUAACGAUUAGGUUUACCACCUCUCUCUCGCUCUCUCUCGCCAUUGUAACCAUGUGUCAGGUAUGGCUGUUGGGACAAGAGAGGAAGCGAGACCAGCAGCUUCCAGGAUCUGCUCUUACCAACAGGCAAACCUGGUACCCAGACUGACAGGGACGGAGUGAGUGGAUGUCUCGGGGUCAUAUCCCAAGACUGGAUCCAUAUCGACAUGGAUGGUAGUUUAUUCUUUGGUUUUCCUCUGGAAUAAUGGACUGUUGAUGGGUCUCAUUCUGUUGGAUUAAAGAAGAGCAUGUAGCCAUUUCUUUAAACAGCGACAUGUGACUACAAAUGAAAAUGAAAUCAGAAGAUUUUACACUCUUGUCCCAUAGUGACAAUGACCAACUGGCUGGAAGCAAGUAGAGGCUGCCUCUUAAGACAGGAAAACAUUUUAACCCUGCUGUUCCCAUGAUGUCACAAGGACUAGAGUGUUGGGGAGGACUGAGAGCACACUCUUCCUCUGGAGUAUGUUAGACUCUAAGGGUCCAUGACACAGGAGUGGGGAACAUUUCAUUCAUCGAGGAUUGAGCCUCUCGUGCUGGGUGUUGAAAGAAACACCAGUGACGUCCCCGUGUAUUCACGUGGAGUAUCUGACAGUCAGUCAUUGCAGGAUUACAGAAGGAGGGGCAGUUCAGAGGGGAGGCCCCGUGGAGGCAGGCAUGGAGGAGCGCGUGGUGACUGACACCGAGAGCUUGUGACCCGGGCAGGUGGCAGACUCUGUUCGGUCAGAAGACUCUGCCGACUGCAGUGCAUAGAAAUCCACGUCCGUCCACGAGAAGUCGCAGGACGAGAACACCGCUGACAGGAAGUCACCUGUCAGAGCGUGCGGCACGAGUGGUGAGAAUGUUGAGUCUGAACCAAGGUCGUGGUGUCACAGUGGUGGAAAGGCCACUGGAGGUGAAAGCAGCAGACCCAGAGUCAUUUCCAAGAACAAACUGGAAGGUUUAUGGGACCAAUUAGGCAGAGAUCCUGAGGAGGAGAGGUGAAGAUGUGCAGUGGUUUCCGGCCAGGAAGAAGAGUGUUCCAUGGACGGUGAGGACAGAUGCGUGCUGGGCUUCUCUGAGGGCUGGGAAGACGCACGGGGAGCUUGAUUUUAGACAUGACACAAGUUCAGUGAUGGUGCUCAACACACAUGCGCCAAGGCGUGUCUCUCACACACACACAGCCUAAGAACAGAGUCCAUGAUCACGGCACAGCCAGAGUGGGCACGACACUGUCGCCACUGACACAGGCAGGGUGAGGGGGUUGGGCCUGUCAGGUGUUCUGAGGAGAAGUCGGCCGGCCUGAGAGUGCUGGAAGGUGCUCAAUUCUCAUCAAGAGGAGGGCCGGUUUCAGAGAUGAGAAGAGAGAGCUGGAGAGGGGAGAGCAGAGUCAGGAAAGGGCGGUGAACCAUGAAGCCGAGCAAGGAGGGUCCCUGUGGGGCCACACGUUUCCCAGAGGCCUGAUAGGGUCAGAACGUUAGGGGCUUCCUCGGAGAUCUCACUCUCCACGGAAUGGUGAGCGCAGAGGUCAAGGGCAGGAUGGAAUAAGGGAUGCACGGCGAGGCCUUAGUGACUGCU